GAUGAACGCUAGCUACAGGCUUAACACAUGCAAGUCGAGGGGAAACGGCAUUGAGUGCUUGCACUCUUUGGACGUCGACCGGCGCACGGGUGAGUAACGCGUAUCCAACCUUCCCAUUACUGUGGGAUAACCUGCCGAAAGGCAGACUAAUACCGCAUAGUCUUCGAUGACGGCAUCAGAUUUGAAGUAAAGAUUUAUCGGUAAUGGAUGGGGAUGCGUCUGAUUAGCUUGUUGGCGGGGUAACGGCCCACCAAGGCAACGAUCAGUAGGGGUUCUGAGAGGAAGGUCCCCCACAUUGGAACUGAGACACGGCCCAAACUCCUACGGGAGGCAGCAGUGAGGAAUAUUGGUCAAUGGACGGAAGUCUGAACCAGCCAAGUAGCGUGCAGGAUGACGGCCCUAUGGGUUGUAAACUGCUUUUGUAUGGGGAUAAAGUUAGGGACGUGUCCCUAUUUGCAGGUACCAUACGAAUAAGGACCGGCUAAUUCCGUGCCAGCAGCCGCGGUAAUACGGAAGGUCCAGGCGUUAUCCGGAUUUAUUGGGUUUAAAGGGAGCGUAGGCUGGAGAUUAAGUGUGUUGUGAAAUGUAGACGCUCAACGUCUGAAUUGCAGCGCAUACUGGUUUCCUUGAGUACGCACAACGUUGGCGGAAUUCGUCGUGUAGCGGUGAAAUGCUUAGAUAUGACGAAGAACUCCGAUUGCGAAGGCAGCUGACGGGAGCGCAACUGACGCUUAAGCUCGAAGGUGCGGGUAUCAAACAGG
rnacentral:rRNA from 1 species